rnacentral:lncRNA from 1 species
GGGAGCUCCGAAGGAGGCACGCCCUCCUUGCUUUUAUUUCGGGGAGAGGAGCAGCUAGGCACUCUGGAGCCCAGUGAAAAAACGGUUCAUUUUCAGAUGUGUUAAUUCCAAAAACCUGCUGUGAGUUUUCCUGGCCAGCCCUCCUCUUCCCCCUCGUCUACUUUACUGUUGCCUCCCCACUGCUCGCGUCUGCUCCCUUCCCACACUCGCACCUCGGCUUUGGGAUGACGGGGUACCAGUUGUGAUUCGUACAUUUGUGUGUGAUCCUGUUUGUCCUGGAAAGGCACGGAAUAGGUGCCUGGCUGCUAUUUGUAUUUUUGAAUGAAAGAAAGAGCGAAUGAGCUUUGAGGCUGGUGGGUGGUGCGUCUCAGAGCCAGGAGGCAUCACGCGGAGGACACCAGGCUUGGCCGACCCUGGCUGCACACUGCCCUCUACAGGCAGCUCUCAGGCUGCAGCCCAGCUCGCUCCUCUGCUUGGAGCCCUGGUGGCAGGUCCUCCAGCCUCGGCGCUUGUCAUCCCUGAACCCAGCCCCCCUGUGUUUCCUCGUGAACACAAGGGGAUGGCCCAGGACCAGCUUGCUUAGAACCCCCUUGGCUCCCUGAAUUCAUGUUCACAGCAGCUGGUGUUGGUCAUUGAUGUGGUUGUGUGUGUGUGUGUGCCCUGGGUUGUGUGUGUGAACGUGCACUUGGGUGCAAGGGAGUGAGAAGAUGCAGAGCCAUGCAUGUGCCAGUGGUCAGGUGCUGUGGUCAUUCAGGACCAGCUGCAUGGGGCCGCCUUGUGGUAAGUGACAAAAUAUAAAGUAAUGGUUCAAAGCUGGACUUUGGACCCAGGCUAGCUGGUUUCCAAUUACAACUAUGCAACUUUCUGUCCUUGUGAUCCUGAGCAUGUAAUUAACUCCUUUGCUUUGGUGUCUCCAUCUAUGAAGAAGGUCAUGAUAUUGUCUCCCUCCAAGUACAGGGAUUAAAUGAGUGCUAAUGGGUCAGGUGCUUUGAACAACCCCUGGUGUAUAAUAAGCAUUCAGGAGGUGUUUGCUGUUGCUGUUAUUGUCCAUCAGCGGCUGGCUGUGGCUGUGGCAGCGUAUUGGAGCCACAGACAUUUGGCUUUAUUUUAGAAGCCCUAGCCCAAGGAGAGCAGGCCAUAGAAGGCAUGGGGGAGUAGAAGGAGAGUUUCAUGGCCCCUGGAUGCUGGCAGUGGGGAGGCAUAGCACCUCCUUCUCCCUUUGAGCUGGGGGUGGGUGGUCCAGUCCCAGAGAAGGCAGCCAGGCUGGGCUGGCUCCUGUAUGACUUGUCUUCCUGCCAGCAGUCUACUUGGCAGGCCUCUGGGCAGAGGGAGAUGUAUAAAUAGCUGGUGGCCCACGUGCCCCCCCCCCCAUCGACAGCCCAGGUGACUCCUACCUCUUUUUCCGGAGACUCGGGCCUCCUCCCCUUGGUCCUCCACUUGCCGCCACACUCCCAUCCAUCCCCAUGGCGCCCCGCCUUCACUUUGUUUACCGAUAUCCAUUUAGCAUUGGCCUAAACUGUGUACUCAGUGCUUUAGAGUCCUUAGACCCUGGAUUGGUACAACAUCCAAUCUGCCCAUUGUACAGAUAGGGAAACUAGGCUUAGAGAGGGAGCCACUUGCCCAGGGGCACACAACUCAGAAGGGGCAGAGUGGAGACUUAUAUCCGGGAUGAGAGACCCCAAAGCCUUGGCCUGCUCUGCCAUAGACUCUUCCCCACCUUCAAUCUGAUUCCUGGUGAUCUCGAGUCCUGGUUUGUUUUCUGGAAAAACAGUAGAUGGCAAAGAAAUCAGAGCGAUUCAUUUGUAUCCUGGGCCUCCUGGGGGAGGCGUGAGGACCUUUCUGCAGACUUCCCUUUUGUGCAUAAGUUUGGAAAGGCUCCAGGUCUUGCCAGUCAAGCCUCUGUCUCACCCUUUGUGGCCCUGGGCCCCCUUGAGUCUCGGUUUCCUUGUGUGGACAAUGGCCCUGGCCUUACCCUCCAUGCAGACCAGAUCCUGGUUGUGCAACCGUGGUGAGACAGGCACAAGUUGCUGAGCACACGUGGGUUUCCUCCCCACCAGCAGUGACCGUUACUAUAGCUCUGGUUUCAUUCUCAAGUCUCCAGUUCAAAACGAAACCAAAUCCAGACGCAGAAAGGGAAAAAGAAACAUGCUGAUUGACAAGCAUCUGUCUGCCGGGCUCCCGGGAAGCUGGGCAGCAUGGGAACCCUGAGGAGUUUGGACUCCAAUGGGCCGUGAGACCCCAGCCGAGCAGCCUGCUCUCUCUGGGCCUCAGAAGGGCAUUGGAAAUUUGGCACCUCACAGAGCAGCACAGAAACAAAACCUGAAGCAGGGUGCCAGGCACGGAGCAAAGUGAUGAGCAGGAGUGGCUUCUUGUCACGGGGCGGUUGGGUCAGCCCUAGGUCCACAGCUUGUCUGGCCACGGCCAGACAUGUGGGCUGCUUUUCCCCCCACCCCACCCCCCUGGCAGCUGAGAAGUGAGAGGUCCAGUCAGUAGCUGGGGCGGGGGGCGGUCAUGGGUUUGGUGCUCAGAGCUCAGUUUUUUCAGUUUCUUUUUCUAGCUUUGGCAAAGUCCUGCUGGGAAAAGCAGCCCCUGGUUAGGUCUUGUAAUCUUGAAACCGCCCUGUGCUCCAGGGCUCCUCAGCCUUUCUUUACAGCCAAGAUUCCCAUGGGAGUCUGUGCUUCUGGGGAGCCCUGAGCUGUGGGGUUUGGAGCAUGGAUUCUGCUGUCAGCUGGCCUGGGUUUAAAUCCAUCGCUUAGUGAGCACAUGGCCCGAGGCCAGCUUCCUAGCGUCUCUGUACUUCAGUUUCCUCAUCUGCAAGGUAGGGUAAUUACGCUUACUUCACCAUUUCAGUAUUUAUUCAGUAGGUUUUUAUUGAGUGCUUCCUGUCUGCCAGGCACUAGGACUCAGGGGUCUUCAGGGAGACCCCAAGAGUGAAUUCUCAUGGUCAUUUCAGACCAUGGUAAGUGCUCUGGGAAGAUAAACAGGGAAAAGGGGGCAGCGAGGUGUGGAGACAGGAGUGAGGUGAGGCAGACAGGGCAGGUUGGAGCUGAGGCCUUUCUAAAAGCGGGAUGAAAAGGAUUCCAGGGAGAGAGAACCACCAGUGCAAAGGCCCUGUGGUGGGAGUGAUUGGCGGAGCUGAGGAUCAUAAAGGAGACAUGUAUAGUUGGUGUAGGGAGCAAGGGGUGAGUGCAGGGGUGAGGUAUAGAGGUUGAGGGGGUCCAAUUGAUGGGACAAGGUUUUGUUGGGACGUGGGAGGGGUUUGGAUUUCACCCUGACUGCAGGAGACACUACCGGGUUGGGUGUGGAAAAAAACUCCGGCUGCUGACUUCCUGGACAGCUUGGGGCUCUAGCCACAGUGGUGACAGUGGGGGCCUUGGGACAUACCUCAUGAUGGUCCGUGCCCCCCACCCCCGUGUCACCACACUAGUUCCUGAAAUGGGUGCAAAGACAGUCCUCAGGGACAGCCAGGACAUGCAUCCGACCUGAGUUCUGGGGUCAGCCCUCCCUUCCCAGGAGACCCUGGAAGUGGAGGCACUGUUUGCGGAGCCCGCUCUGGGCCAGGCGAGGGUGUCUUGUUCACUCUCGCCCAUGGUUCUGUGACUUGGAAAUUCUGUGUCUCCAUGUACUAGGCGAGGAAGGUACUUCUCUGGGGGCUGGUGGAAGAGCUUCGAGUAUUUUGGAGAGCCCGGGGGCUGGGCUGCAUCCCACUCGGAGGCCUCUUUCUCCAGACAGGUUGCUUCGUUACCUCGGGUGGAACCUUGUCCCCACAACAGGAAAAAUAGUGUGUUUCGGUGGUGAGAAGGGGCGUGCAGCUGGGGACACUUGAGCCCAAGGAGAAGGCUCUCGUCGGACAGAGGACUUAUGGCCUGAGCUGGUGGCUGGGCCCCCAGAUCCUGGGGAGACUUGGUGAGGACAUUCCAGCAAGCCUCUUCAACCCACAUGGCGGAUGAAGGCGGGAGAGAUGAGGUCGGAGCUUACGGGCAGUACCCAGUACUCACCAGCUUUCAGAAAGCAGAGCAGGUGCUGGGACUGGGUCAGAAACUCCAGAAGAGGAAAGCAGACUUCUGAAACUCUGGUUAUGGGGUCCAGACACGGACCCAGGUCCCCACCCGCCCCCGCCCCAUUGUAGCUUCCGGCACAUCACCUUCAUCUAGUGGCCGCAAGAACCGUCCGAAAACCUAAGCCUGGCAGGCCCAGUGCCUUUUCCUCAGUCAGUCUCGCAGCACCUCGCUGGGAGCCCAUGGUUUCUAUUUGUCCACCCUCUUCUAGUCUGCCCAUCUGGUGGCCACCCUACCCCAUCCUGCAAGUAGCAAAGUAAGUGUCAGUAGCUGACAACAGGGACACUGGCAGUGACCUUUGGCAGUUGACACAUAGGGGAAACAAGCAUUUGCAGAAGCUGUGGAGCUAGACGAAAGGGCUGACCAUCAGCAGGCUGGGGACGCUGAGAGUUGGGGCAGGGCGUCUCCUCAACCCUGGGCACCAGCCCCCACCGUGGGGAGUGGGAAAGCUGCUGAGAGAGGCCGGCUUGAGGCCCAUCGUUUCGGGGCAUGAAGACCAGCAGUAGACGUGCUGUGGGCAGCCCACAGCCUGCUGGCUCCGGCAGAAGCCCCUGGCCGGGCCGGCAGGGCUGAGCAGGCUCUGGGAGGCGGUGGCCCUUCACCUGCACUUUGAAGAGCAAGAGAGACCUGGCCCAGGGAGAAGGGAGAGCGCCCCUGGCAGAGCGCGGCGCCAGCAAAGGCCCGGAGACCAACGUGUGAGGGCCCAAGGGGCAGGUGACAGGUGAUGAGGAUCAAGAAAGCAGGAAAGGCCCUGGGGCCACCCUGAUGGUUUCUGGGCAGAGGCUUGGCUUGGGGAAGGCAGCGACUCUCCCUGAGGAGAGCCUUCGGGGUCACCUUGCCUGCAGCGAGCCCAGAAAGGGCAGAUGGCACCGAGGACAGAUAAUACAAAGCCUUUGCAGACUCAGAGUUUACAUCCAGCAUUCCCGUGCUCUCUGUUCAGAGGCAGCGGAGCUUGGCUGAGCACCAGGUGCCUCACUGACACCCUUUCCACCCUACUUUAUUUGUCUGUUUCCUUGUAGAAAAUUAUUUCCCCUCCCCAGACAUAUUCCCAGGCCUCAGCUUAGUCUUCCAGAUGCUUUUCCAGGCACACACAUGCCUGCAUUUUCCCUCUAAAAGGACAGUGUUGCUUUGUGUAGAAUUUCCCCUCCAUCAAUGGUAACCCUUUCCCCAUCUUGCCCUUUCCACCCAGCAGCAUAUCCUGGCAACCGGGGGAGGCCACACAUAGGUCAACCUCAUUCCUUUAAACACUGCAUGAUGGAGCUGCCAUUGUGGCUCAGUGGUAACGAACCUGACUAGUAUCCAUAAGGAUGCGGGUUCGGUCCCUGGCCUCACUCAGUGGGUUAAGGAUCCGGCGUUGCCAUGAGCUGUGGUGUAGGUCACGGAUGGGGCUCAGCUCUGGCGUUGCUGUGGCUGUGGUGUAGGCUGGCAGCUACAGCUCCAAUUCGACCCCUAGCCUGUGAACCUCCAUAUGCC